CAUGUGAUUGCUAAUCUGGCAGGAGAAGCUUUAUGGGAGCUUAUUGAAUCUAGAAUGACAGGAAGAGGCAAAAGUUUCCUGUCAGGAAGAAUGUAUCCAUAUGAGUGAUAAUAAGAGGGAGAUUGAAUGGGGUUGUUCCAUUGUCACAAAAGGACUUUGAGUGAUCACACUAUCACCUCCAGGGACAAGAACCUGGUAUUCAGAACAAGACAUUUUGUUCACCCUACUAACCCUGAUGCAUACCAUAUGCUUCAUCUGACUGGUCAAAUCAAUGGAAUUAAAGCAAUCUUUCAAUCUCCUUUCACAGACAAAAACUAUUGACAUUAAGCUUUUUGAAAGUCUUCAUCUCACUCUGUUCACCUUCUUUUACAAAGCUCAUUCCAUCACAGAUGUCACAGAAUUUAAUUCUUUGCAGUACACCAUCUCAGCUAUUGUCUACAUUCAUGCCAACUUCAGCUCCUCUGAUUUUUCUCUUGCUUCUAAUCUGAUCCCUUCCUACCCAUACUACUGACUGUAAUGUGGA